UACGUAGGGUGCGAGCGUUGUCCGGAAUUAUUGGGCGUAAAGAGCUCGUAGGCGGUGUGUUACGUCGGCCGUGAAAACCUGCAGCUUAACUGUGGGCGUGCGGUCGAUACGGGCAUCACUGGAGUUCGGCAGGGGAGACUGGAAUUCCUGGUGUAGCGGUGAAAUGCGCAGAUAUCAGGAGGAACACCGGUGGCGAAGGCGGAUCUCUGGGCCGUAACUGACGCUGAGGAGCGAAAGCAUGGGGAGCGAACAGG
rnacentral:rRNA from 1 species